rfam:Populus trichocarpa scaffold_8_contig_173, whole genome shotgun sequence.
UAAAGAAUCGGUGCAUUUGGACUUCUCUUUUGAACAGUGUCUGGGCUGCAGGAUAGAUUCAGACUUCUUUUUUGAUGCUAAGAUUUGGACUUCCAAACAGUAGAAUUGAGUCUUGGACUCUCCUGAAUGUUUUAGGCCUAUGUCUUAGCUUUCUAGC